UACAGAGGUCUCAAGCGUUGUUCGGAUUUACUGGGCGUAAAGAGCGCGCAGGCGGUCGUUCAAGUCGCGUGUGAAAGCCCCCGGCUCAACUGGGGAGGGUCACGCGAUACUGAUCGACUCGAAGGCAGGAGAGGGUAGUGGAAUUCCCGGUGUAGUGGUGAAAUGCGUAGAUAUCGGGAGGAACACCAGUGGCGAAGGCGACUACCUGGCCUGUUCUUGACGCUGAGGCGCGAAAUCUAGGGGAGCAAACGGG
rnacentral:rRNA from 1 species